AGCUAUAUCUAAUUGAAACACGGGUUCCCAUAAGGUCACCGAAGUUAAGUAACAUCGAGCCUGGUCAGUAGCUUGAUGGGUGACCACUUAUUAAUACAAGGUGCAGUA